rnacentral:rRNA from 1 species
AACGGUAACAUUUCUAGCUUGCUAGAAGAUGACGAGUGGCGGACGGGUGAGUAAUGCUUGGGAACUUGCCUUUGCGAGGGGGAUAACAGUUGGAAACGACUGCUAAUACCGCAUAAUGUCUUCGGACCAAACGGGGCUUUUGCUUCGGGGCAAAAAAAGGGCCAAGUGAAAUUAACUUGUUGGUAAGGUAACGGCUUAACAAGGGGACCAUUUUUUACUUGUCUGAAAAGAAGAUCAGCCACACUGGGACUGAAACCCGGCCCAGAAUUCUACGGGAGGCAGCAGUGGGGAAUAUUGGACAAUGGGGGAAACCCUGGUGCAGCCAUGGCGCGUGUGUGAAGAAGGGCUUCCGGUUGGAAAGCACUUUCAGUUGUGAAGAAAAGUUAAUAAUUAAUUACUGCUUACCGUGACGGUUACCACAGAAGAAGCAACGGCUAACUCCGUGUGCAGCAGCCGGCGUUAUACGGAAGGUUGCAGCGGUAAUUCGGAAUUACUGGGCCGUAAAGCCGACAGCAAGCCGUUGGUAAGCCUAGAUGUGAAAGCCUCGGGCUCUCACCUUGGGAUGGUCAUUUAAAACUGUGCAGACUUAAGUCUCUGGAGAGGGGAGUGUGAAUUCUCAGGUGUGUACGGUGAAAUGCGUAAAUAUCUCUGAGAGAACAUCUCAUGUGCGAAAGCGACUUUCCUGUGCCCAAGACUGAGAG